rnacentral:rRNA from 1 species
UUGUCCUACGGGGCGCAGCAGGGGGGAAUAUUGGGCAAUGGGCGCAAGCCUGACCCAGCAACGCCGCGUGAAGGAAGAAGGCGUUCGGGUUGUAAACUUCUUUUCUCAGGGACGGAGAAAGUGACGGUACCUGAGGAAUAAGCCACGGCUAACUACGAGCCAGCAGCCGCGGUACUACGUAGGUGGCAAGCGUUAUCCGGAUUUAUUGGGUGUAAAGGGCGUGUAGGCGGGGGCG